AGCAUUUCUGUGGGCAGCAUAACGGCCAUCUGAUACACGUGAAUUCCGAGGAGGAAAACUUGUUCAUUAUUGACACUUUGCGUAAAACUAAAGCAUCCUACUGCUGGAUUGGGCUUUCUGACAUGGAUGUCGAGGGCUUAUGGCAAUGGUAUGGAACGUCAGAAAAGCCACAGUUCAGCUAAUGGGGUCCAGGUCAGCCUGGCGGCGGUCAACUCGAGGACUGUGGAGUGUACGCUGUUCACCAUCACUACAGAUGGGAUGACUAUACGUGCGAUCAUCACUUUCAUCCCAUCUGUGAAUCCA